rnacentral:lncRNA from 1 species
AGCAAAAGCCCUUCUCUGUAUGUUUGCAGUCUGGAGAGGAAAGCAAAUGAGGAAGGAAUGUAAGGACACAGGGAAGAAAGGAAGGUUCACUCUCAGGUUGCUUUGUAAAUCAGUGGCAAUGCCAGCAUAAUCUCUCUGUUCUCUGAAGCUGGUUUCUGCACAGCAGGAAUAUUACAGUUGUGCUUGUGCACUUCCAGACUGCAGACCUUUUCAUGACUCUCGUAUUUGAGCUUCGACAUCUUUCUCCUGAGGCCUUAAGAGCACUAUGGCAAAGAUCAUCAUUUAAGUGCAGAGACAACUGGCAACCAUUAAUAGAUGCUCUCCCAUCUUGUGCCACAGAAGCAUGUGUUGUCCUAAUGAAAGACCUCAUAGCUUCUGGAGAAGUUGAGGAAGACAAAGUAGAAUAUUUCUUUUGGUCAUUUACAUUCAUUCCUAAUCCCACCUCAGGAAUGAUUGAAUCUCUUGCUGUGAGUGAAUGUUAUUUUUUCUGUUUUAAUUUGUAAUGAAUCUAGGUGGCUCAUCAAUUUUGUUUUACACUAAUAGUCUUUUUCAGAUUUAUACAAAUCUCUGUCCAGGUAAUUUUGUUGAGAUUGUAUUUUGGUAUGUAAAUAUUUUGAUACAUUUAUAAUGGUAUGUUACUGUAUGUGGUAUGUUAGUGUAGUCAUUCUCAUGACUUUACUGAAACACCUCAUUCUCUCUGUGGUUGUUUACAGCCUUUGCUGAAGUCACCUAGAGCCAGCCAGAGCUGCUUCUUGGGAGUAACAGCUCUCGUACAUAGGUUUUGUUCGGCUCAUAGCUCCUGUGAUAUUGUACCUGCUGUGCAGAGUGUGAUGAGGAUUCUUGGGAAAUUUUUGGGAGGAAACUGUACUGUGCAAGAUUCAGAACAUCUCAGCAAGAUGCAGCUGGUGUUGAAAGCCAUUGGAAAUGCAGGACUGGCAGCUGCUUCGCUGGCUCCUGCUCUGAGCUCCUGUGCUGCCCUGAAGAGCCAUCCCAUGGAAAUCCGCCUCGCUGCUGUCCAGGCCUUCCGGCGCAUUCCCUGCCCUGUCAGGAAUGCUAUAUUACUUCAGUUUUAUCAAGCAACCAGUGAAGAUGUGGAAAUAAGAAUUGCUGCUUAUUAUAUAGUAAUGAAAUGUCCACAUGAAGAGUUAUUUAAACAAGUACAAAAGACUUUGCUGAAAGAAACAUCCAGCCAAGUGGGCUCCUUUGUUUGGAGUCAUCUCUCUCAGCUCUUGGAGACGGAUGAUCCGUUGAAGGAGCACCUUCGAGAUUCUAUUCCUGAUGAAAUUCUUAGCAAAGAUUUUGACUGGGAGACAUGGAAAUACUCCUCAUACUCUGAUGUCACAUUUCACUCAGGUAUGUGGAGUUUUAGAACUUAAUACUUCGUAGCAUAUGGCUUAUUGACAUCCCAUAUGGC